UACGUAGGGUCCGAGCGUUGUUCGGAGUUACUGGGCGUAAAGGGUGUGUAGGCGGUUCCUUAAGUUUGGUGUGAAAUCUCCCGGCUUAACUGGGAGGGUGCGCCGAAGACUGGAAGGCUUGAGUAUGGGAGAGGUAAGCGGAAUUCCUGGUGUAGCGGUGAAAUGCGUAGAUAUCAGGAGGAACACCUGCGGUGUAGACGGCUUACUGGACCAUAACUGACGCUGAGGCACGAAAGCGUGGGUAGCAAACAGG
rnacentral:rRNA from 1 species